AGGAAGGGUCCGUUGUUGGUUUACGGGUUGAGCUGUAAACUCAAUGGCUAUAGGCCAUCGAAGGUUCGAUUCCUUUCUUCCUA
rnacentral:tRNA from 1 species